rnacentral:rRNA from 1 species
ACGGAAGGCAGCAGUGGGGUAUAUUGCACAAUGGGCGAAAGCCUGAUGCAGCAACGCCGCGUGAGGGAAGACGGUUUUCGGAUUGUAAACCUCUGUCUUUGGUGAAGAUAAUGACGGUAGCCAAGGAGGAAGCCACGUCUAACUACGUGCCAGCAGCCGCGGUAAUACGUAGGUGGCAAUCGUUUUCCGGAAUUACUGGGUGUAAAGGGAGCGCAGGCGGGACGGCAAGUUGGAUGUGGAAUACCGCAGCUUAACUGCGGAGCUGCAUCCAAAAUUGUCGUUCUUGAGUGGAGUAGAGGCAGGCGGAAUUCCGAGUGUAGCGGUGAAAUGCGUAGAUAUUCGGAGGAACACCAGUGGCGAAGGCGGCCUGCUGGGCUAUAACUGACGCUGAGGAUCGAAAGUGUGGGGAGCAAACAGGAUUAGAUACCCUGGUA